UCAGAACGCAGAGAUUAUCAUUUAUCAUGCUGAGAUUUGGGCAGCACAUCAUCAAGCCCUCCGUGGUCUUCCUGAAGACUGAGCUCUCCUUUGCUCUUGUGAAUCGCAAGCCGGUGGUCCCAGGCCGUAUCCUUUUGAGCAGUGCCUUGGCCAUGGGUGCCUGUGUUCUGUGGAGAAGCUGAGGAAGGUUGGCAUGCUCUGAAGGCCAGUUAGAACUCUGGUGCUACGUAACUUGUGCUGAUUUCAGUGGCUGGAGGUUGAACUUCUCAGAAAUAUUCAAGACUGAUCAUUUCCACAGAGGUUUAUGGUAAAAUUUUAGUAGGAACUGUUAAGAAAUGGCUGAAUGCAUGUUGGGGGGAAAAAAAAAGCCUGGAGUUCAUUGAAAGCUUUUCUGUACUUUUCUGUUGUUUCUCAUAAUUUAAUAUAUAAUUUUAAAUUUAGUAGCUUUUAAUAUAAUUGUAUACCUAUAAAAGUAUUUUAUUCCUCUGAAAUUUUGAAUGUCCCUCUCUUCUCAUUACUUCUGUAUAUUAUAACUGUUCAAUGUAGAACUUCUUGGUGUACCUGUUUUGAAUGUUUCUAUUCAUUCCAGAUAUCAGAUCAUUUGGUUAUUAAUGUAUGACAAAUAUGCACAGACUUUAUAGAAAAUAAACACGUUACCAUCAAUGUGUUUCAAUGAAUUAAACUAAUUAUUUUUCUCCAGUAAAAGUUUCUAAGCUAUCUGGUGUAAAUUGAUGUGGUGUACAGAGCCGUCGUGCUUUUAGGCAAAAAAUGGCAAAAUAUGUUCAAAGAUAUCUAAAGACACUAUCCCAUUCGUCAUUGUGAGUUGAGGAGCUUGUAAAUUCUUGACCAGUAUGUAGGUUUACGCAUUGUGGAGGUAAAUAAGUAAAUUAGAGUAAAAGAGAGUAAAUAAAAUGUUUUCUGUACUGUAUGUGGAAGUUUUAAAAACAGUAGUUCUAUUGUUAUAGUUAUAUGCAAUAGUUAUAUUUUAUUAUUAUAUUGCUAUUAUAUAUGUAUAGUUAUAUACAAUAGUUACAUUGUAUGUACAUAGUUCUAAAACCAUAGUUCAAUUCUGUUGGUUAGUUAAGUGAACAAUCGCAUCUGUUAUUAAACAAUGAAGAGGUAUUUCAGAUGAAAGAGUUGUUUUAAAGUUUUGUUAGCAUCGAGAAGUGACAGUUUAAGGAGCCUAUAAAACUUAAUUAUUACAAGUUUCUUUCCUUCUUAAAUAAUUAAAGAUUAUAAACUCUAGUUGCAUAGUUAUUGCUGACUGUUUGGCAGAUACAUUUAUUUGCUCAGGUUUAGCUUUGUUAUCCAUGUAAUGAGUAUUGCAGCAUAUUUUAUAGUGUCACAUUGUUUUAAUAGCUCAUGUGUUGUAAUAUAUAAUAUAGUCUUUGUUUCUCUGUUGAAUAAAUGUUCAGGUAAUAAAACUCCAA